rnacentral:rRNA from 1 species
UGGCAGACGGGUGAGUAACGCGUGGGAACCUACCUUUCGGUACGGAACAACAGUUGGAAACGACUGCUAAUACCGUAUGCGCCCUACGGGGGAAAGAUUUAUCGCCGAGAGAUGGGCCCGCGUUGGAUUAGCUAGUUGGUGGGGUAAUGGCCUACCAAGGCGACGAUCCAUAGCUGGUCUGAGAGGAUGAUCAGCCACACUGGGACUGAGACACGGCCCAGACUCCUACGGGAGGCAGCAGUGGGGAAUAUUGGACAAUGGGGGCAACCCUGAUCCAGCCAUGCCGCGUGAGUGAUGAAGGCCCUAGGGUUGUAAAGCUCUUUCAGCGAGGAGGAUAAUGACGUUACUCGCAGAAGAAGCCCCGGCUAACUUCGUGCCAGCAGCCGCGGUAAUACGAAGGGGGCUAGCGUUGUUCGGAAUCACUGGGCGUAAAGCGCACGUAGGCGGACUUUUAAGUCAGGGGUGAAAUCCCGGAGCUCAACUCCGGAACUGCCUUUGAUACUGGAAGUCUUGAGUCCGAGAGAGGUGAGUGGAACUCCGAGUGUAGAGGUGAAAUUCGUAGAUAUUCGGAAGAACACCAGUGGCGAAAGCGGCUCACUGGCUCGGUACUGACGCUGAAGUGCGAAAGCGUGGGGAGCAAACAGGAUUAGAUACCCUGGUAGUCCACGCCGUAAACGAUGGAAGCUAGCCGUCAGGUAGCAUGCUAUUUGGUGGCGCAGCUAACGCAUUAAGCUUCCCGCCUGGGGAGUACGGUCGCAAGAUUAAAACUCCAAGGAAUUGACGGGGGCCCGCACAAACGGUGGAGCAUGUGGGUUAAUUCGAAGCAACGCGCAGAAACUUAUCAACCCUUGACAUUUGGGGUUACCUCCCAAGAUGGAGGGUUCCCUUCGGGGACGCCAGAACAGUGCUGCAUGGCUGUCG